GCGCCGGUAGUCUAACGGUAGGACUGAAGCUUCCCAAGCUUCCAACGCGGGUUCAACUCCCGCCCGGCGCA
rnacentral:tRNA from 1 species